rnacentral:rRNA from 1 species
AUACGUAGGGGGCGAGCGUUGUCCGGAAUGAUUGGGCGUAAAGGGCGCGUAGGCGGCCCGGUAAGUCUGGAGUGAAAGUCCUGCUUUUAAGGUGGGAAUUGCUUUGGAUACUGUCGGGCUUGAGUGCAGGAGAGGUAAGUGGAAUUCCCAGUGUAGCGGUGAAAUGCGUAGAGAUUGGGAGGAACACCAGUGGCGAAGGCGGCUUACUGGACUGUAACUGACGCUGAGGCGCGAAAGUGUGGGGAGCAAACAGGAUUAGAUACCCUGGUAGUCCACACUGUAAACGAUGAAGGCUAGGUGUAGGGGGUAUCGACCCCUUCUGUGCCGCAGUAAACACAAUAAGCAUUCCGCCUGGGGAGUACGGCCGCAAGGUUGAAACUCAAAGGAAUUGACGGGG